rnacentral:rRNA from 1 species
GAUGAACGCUAGCUACAGGCUUAACACAUGCAAGUCGAGGGGCAGCAUGAAAGGAACUUCGGUUCUUUUUGAUGGCGACCGGCGCACGGGUGCGUAACGCGUAUCGAACCUGCCUCAUACUCGGGGAUAGCCUUGCGAAAGUAAGAUUAAUACCCGGCGGUCUCGGAUGGCCGCAUGACUGUCCGAGUGAAGAUUUAUCGGUAUGAGAUGGCGAUGCGUCCCAUUAGCUUGUUGGUGAGGUAACGGCUCACCAAGGCAUCGAUGGAUAGGGGUUCUGAGAGGAAGGUCCCCCACAUUGGAACUGAGACACGGUCCAAACUCCUACGGGAGGCAGCAGUGAGGAAUAUUGGUCAAUGGACGAGAGUCUGAACCAGCCAAGUAGCGUGAAGGAUGACUGCCCUAUGGGUUGUAAACUUCUUUUAUAUGGGAAUAAAGUUUUCCACGUGUGGAAUUUUGUAUGUACCAUAUGAAUAAGGAUCGGCUAACUCCGUGCCAGCAGCCGCGGUAAUACGGAGGAUCCGAGCGUUAUCCGGAUUUAUUGGGUUUAAAGGGAGCGUAGGUGGACAGUUAAGUCAGUUGUGAAAGUUUGCGGCUCAACCGUAAAAUUGCAGUUGAUACUGGCUGUCUUGAGUACAGUAGAGGUGGGCGGAAUUCGUGGUGUAGCGGUGAAAUGCUUAGAUAUCACGAAGAACUCCGAUUGCGAAGGCAGCUCACUGGACUGCAACUGACACUGAUGCUCGAAAGUGUGGGUAUCAAACAGG